CCUACGGGUGGCUACAGUGGGGAAUAUUGGUCAAUGGGCGCAAGCCUGACCCAGCAACGCCGCGUGAAGGAAGAAGGCUUUAGGGUUGUUAACUUCUUUUCUGCGGGACGCAGAAAGUGACGGUACCUCCGGAAUAAGCCACGGCUAACUACGGGCCAGCAGCCGCGGUAAUACGUAGGUGGCAGGCGUUAUCCGGAUUUCUUGGGUGUAAAGGGAGCGCAGGGGGCACGGCAAGCUUGAUGUGAAAGCCCGCGGCCCAACCGCGGGACUGCAUUGGAAACUACCCGGCUUGAGUGCCGGAGAGGUAGGCGGAAUGCCUAGUGUAGCGGUGAAAUGCGUAGAUAUUAGGAGGAACACCAGUGGCGAAGGCGGCCUACUGGACGGGGACUGACGCUGAGGCUCGAAAGCGUGGGGAGCGAACAGGAUUAGAUACCCGGGUAGUC
rnacentral:rRNA from 1 species